rnacentral:rRNA from 1 species
UACCAGCACCCCGAGUGGUCGGGACGAUUAUUGGGCCUAAAGCAUCCGUAGCCGGUUCUACAAGUCUUCCGUUAAAUCCACCUGCUUAACAGAUGGGCUGCGGAGGAUACUAUAGAGCUAGGAGGCGGGAGAGGCAAGCGGUACUUAGUGGGUAGGGGUAAAAUCCGUUGAUCCAUUGAAGACCACCAGUGGCGAAGGCGGCUCGCCAGAACGCGCUCGACGGUGAGGGAUGAAAGCUGGGGGAGCAAACCGG